ensembl:miRNA
CAGGCUCCAGUGGUGCAAUCGGUCAGCGUGCAGUACUUAUAAGAUAGUAACCUGCAAAGCAAUGCUGAGGUUGUGAGUUCAAACCUCACCUGGAGCAGAUGUUUU